rnacentral:rRNA from 1 species
CGAAAGCAGGUCUUAGUGAUCCGGUGGUUCUGAAUGGAAGGGCCAUCGCUCAACGGAUAAAAGGUACUCCGGGGAUAACAGGCUGAUACCGCCCAAGAGUUCAUAUCGACGGCGGUGUUUGGCACCUCGAUGUCGGCUCAUCACAUCCUGGGGCUGAAGUAGGUCCCAAGGGUACGGCUGUUCGCCGUUUAAAGUGGUACGCGAGCUGGGUUUAGAACGUCGUGAGACAGUUCGGUCCCUAUCUGCCGUGGGCGUUGGAAGAUUGAGGGGGGUUGCUCCUAGUACGAGAGGACCGGAGUGAACGCACCACUGGUGUUCGGGUUGUGAUGCCAAUUGCAUUGCCCGGUAGCUAAGUGCGGAAGAGAUAACCGCUGAAAGCAUCUAAGCGGGAAACUUGCCCCGAGAUGAGUCUUCCCUGGGACUUCGAGUCCCCUGAAGGGCCGUUGAAGACGACGACGUAGAUAGGCUGGGUGUGUAAGCGUAGCGAUACGUUGAGCUAACCAGUACUAAUGACCCGAGAGGCUUAACCUUACAACACCGAAGGUGUUUUAG